rnacentral:tRNA from 1 species
UCCCUUGUGGCUCAGCUGGUAAAGAAUCUGUCUGCAAUGCAGAAGAUUUGGGUUUCAUCCCUGGCUUGGGAA